rnacentral:rRNA from 1 species
GACAGAGGGUGCAAACGUUGUUCGGAAUUACUGGGCGUAAAGCGCGUGUAGGCAGCUCGGAAAGUCGGGUGUGAAAGCCCUGGGCUUAACCUAGGAAGUGCACUCGAAACUUCCGAGCUUGAGUUCUGGAGAGGAAGGCGGAAUUCUCGGUGUAGAGGUGAAAUUCGUAGAUAUCGAGAGGAACACCGGUGGCGAAGGCGGCCUUCUGGACAGUGACUGACGCUGAGACGGCGAAAGCGUGGGGAGCAAACAGG